CCUUCCCUAUCGCCAUUCUCAUCCCUACACUUCCCCAUCUCCAUCCCUCUCCUCUUGAAGCUGUUGAAAAUUAACAGCUCAAAUUAAGAGCACUUCUGGGCUUGUCGACAGCUUAACCCGUUGCAACAGUAUUUCACACCGCACAGAGGACACCAGAGCUUGUCAGCGAUUCCUUCGUCUUUAUUUUCUCUUCAGUUUGAAAUGUCAGGGGUGUAAGCCCAGCAGAUUUUGGAGGACUCUGUUUGUUAUGACAAGAUCACGAUGGAAGCGAGGCAAGGUUCCUCCAGCCUGGCAUCGCUCAUCUCUUUCUGAACCCUUACUUCUAAACCUUCCCCACAGAGGCAAUCCUUCACUUCACUGUUCUCUGCCUCUUGCUCAGAGUGCAAAAUUAAAAAAGCAACAACAACAACGGCAACAAUUUCCAGAAAUAAGACGGGCCUCCAAGUUCAUCUGUCUGGAGCCCAAUAUAGGUAUGAAGGCACGAUGUGCAUGACUUUAUCCUUCCAGUCUUACCAGGAGAGAGCACGGGGGCAGGAACAGGACUCAGCUAUGCCUGAUGGGGCAGGAGGCUCCACUUCCAGAUGUUGAAUGAAGAUUCCCUUCCACUGCAGAUGUAGAAGAGACAACACAACACGAGAAGUCUCAAAUUCUUCUCGUUGUCCGUUUUUUCCAAUUUCCUAAUGAUGGAGGGUCAAUGCGACCAGCACUGCACAUCGCUGCUCUACUUCCCUACCUCAAAUGUGC